rnacentral:rRNA from 1 species
GCCUACGGCUAUGCCACCCUGAACAAGCCCGAUCCCCUCUGACCUUGGAAGCUAAGCAGGGUCGGGCCUGGUUAGUACUUGAAUGGGAGACUACCUAGGAAGACCAGGUGCUGUAGGCA